UACGUAGGGUGCGAGCGUUGUCCGGAAUUAUUGGGCGUAAAGGGCUCGUAGGCGGUUUGUCGCGUCGGGAGUGAAAACUUGGGGCUCAACCCCAAGCCUGCGGUCGAUACGGGCAGACUAGAGUGCGGUAGGGGAGACUGGAAUUCCUGGUGUAGCGGUGAAAUGCGCAGAUAUCAGGAGGAACACCGGUGGCGAAGGCGGCUCACUGGCCCGGUACUGACGCUGAGGUGCGAAAGCGUGGGGAGCAAACAGG
rnacentral:rRNA from 1 species